ensembl:lncRNA
GGCCUAAUUCUGCUCUGCAUGCAUUUUUUGUUGUACACCCAUGUUUUUGCAGAGUCUCAUUGGUGUUUGUCCAACUUGUAUUUGUUGGUUGAUCUUUCACAGCAUUGUGGAAGUUAGCUGUGGUGCUGAGGUUUCCAAGAAAGCCAGAUCACUUGCCAAUGGCGGCUCAAGCACUGGAAGCCUACGGAGUGCCACAUCCACAAGUACAAAAAUAACCAACUCGCAUUGCCAAAAUCAGUGAUCAAUCUCCACUGACUGGGACGAAACACAGAUCUGUUUUGUGGUCAGCCAGUGAUGACCACCUGUGUUGCUCCCUGUCUGGAUUGUCUCCACAUGUAAUGAUCUCUACAUCCCAUGGAGAGACUUUGUGCCUCUCGGAUGAUACUGUUGAAGAUGUUGACAUCGGGUUACUGGAUGAUAUGGCUGUUCUCUAGAUGCAGAAGUUGAUGAAACUGAUGGACUAUCUUUUAAACAAAGUCAAAGCGACUCAGCCUAUGAAUUAGUCUGCAAUGAUACCAAGACGUCUAACAUUGAGCCACUAAUGCCACCUAUGCAUGUUUUACUUUCAAAUUUAAAAGUUGAUUCAAUAUAGUUCCGAUUUGUAUAUUCAUUAAUAAUCAAUAAACUGACUGGCUUUAUUAAUGUCUACAGUAUUAUGCAAUUUGGUUUCCCCUCAGGUUAUUGAUGUGUCAUUGCAACAUUAAAGGUCCUCAAUGA